rnacentral:rRNA from 1 species
UACGUAGGGGGCAAGCGUUGUCCGGAUUUAUUGGGCGUAAAGAGCGUGUAGGCGGCUUUACAGGUCCGUUGUGAAAACUCGAGGCUUAACCUCGAGACGUCGAUGGAAACCAUCUGGCUAGAGUCCGGAAGAGGAGAGUGGAAUUCCUGGUGUAGCGGUGAAAUGCGCAGAUAUCAGGAAGAACACCCGUGGCGAAGGCGGCUCUCUGGGACGUGACUGACGCUGAGACGCGAAAGCGUGGGGAGCAAACAGG